CGGGCCGGCUAGACGGUCGCGUCAUCCGCCUUCGGGUGUGAUGCCGAGGAACGUCCGGGCUCCGCAGAGCAGGAUGGUGGGUAACACCCACCCGGGGCAACCCGCGAGACAGUGCCACAGAAAGUAGACCGCCGCCGGGCAACCGGCGGUAAGGGUGAAACGGUGGUGUAAGAGACCACCAGAGGCCAGGGUGACCUGGUCGGCUCGGUAAACCUCGUCCGGAGCAAGGUCAGACAGAACACCAUGGGGCUGCUCGUCCCGUGUUCGGGUAGACCGCUAGAGGGCUGCGGCAACGUAGUCCCGAGAGAGAUGGCCGUCACGGUCGCGCAAGCGGCCGACAGAACCCGGCGUAUCGGCCGACCCGUUCA
rfam:Okibacterium fritillariae strain VKM Ac-2059 genome assembly, contig: Ga0139019_11